rnacentral:lncRNA from 1 species
UUACAAUUCAAUUAUGAUUACAACAGCAAAAUAUUUUUUCAAUUAUAAUUAUAUCAUAAUUGAAAUUAAUUAUCAAUUACAAUUAUAAUUGACCCCAGCACUGGCCGAUAUACUGAAAACUGUUGACUCAUCAUCUUUGUCCCCUGCAGGCUGCAGAUCUGAAGAGGAGGAGACAGGAAAUGGUAAAAGAAGAGGAUGGAGCAGACGGGAUGAUGGAGACUUUACCUCAGCUGAUCAGAGAGAGAGAGCAGCUGAAGGAGGAUCUGGACAGGAUGAGAGAGGAGAAGCUUAGCGCCCAGGAUCUCCUCCUCACAGCUAGAAAAGACCGGAGUAAGUCGUGGCAGGAAGAGCAGAGGCUGAGAGAGGAGAGGGACAGAGCCAGGGAGGACAAGGAGCAACUGGAGAGCAAGGUGGCUCUGCUACAGGAACAAUGUGACCUUCUGAGCAGCAGAGUCAGUGAACUGGAACAACAGAAAAUUGGGGUGACCGUAUCGCCCAGAUCAGAGCACAAGAAAAAGACAGAGGAGACGCUGCCCUCCAGUGGUCAGAAAGAUGCACCGCUACACAUGGAGGACCUGGAUGACCCCCCAAGGUCUCCUGUGCCAGACAGCCCCAGCAGCAGCGAUGAGUACCAGCGCUACAUCUCCUCACACCACAGCUCCGCCCGCAAAAGCAAAGCCUUAUUAGAGAAGGAGUUGGCGAGACAGGCAGCUCUGCAGGCCACCCAGAACGGCUGCACCGAGGAGCUCAGACCCCAGGAGUUUUUCUCUGGACUGGGCGCAGAGAGGAGGGUAGCCUUUGACGUGACAGAGUCCGAGCUGAGCAGCGCUGUGGAUCCACCACAUGGAGGAGCUCGGCCCAUUGUCCCAGACAAAGUCCAGGAGCUAGCAGCGUCUCUGCAGCUGAUCUCAGGCCAUCUCUACUCCGCCAUGAGUUUAUUUGGUACACUGGCUGAGCAGCAGGGAACUGCACAGCCCACAGCUUUGCCUCAUUCUCACUUCACCUUGGCCCCGGGUUCCGCAGCGCCCCCUUCUGCUGGGAUGCUGUCAGACUCGCUCUGGAACUGGAGACCCCAUGGCAUCUCCACAGCUGCGCCUGUCUUCAGCACCCCCAUCAACAGCAGCCUGAGGGCCUCUGAACAGCUGCUUCAAAGCCGCUGGAGCCAGAUUUUCCCAGGUAUGUCGGGAGGGUGGGGCUAAUGAAAUGCAAC